AUUGAACGCUGGCGGCAUGCUUUACACAUGCAAGUCGAACGAGUGGCGCACGGGUGAGUAAUAUCUCGGAACGUGCCCAAUAGUGGGGGAUAACUAAUCGAAAGAGUAGCUAAUACCGCAUACUAUUCGAUCGGCCGAUAUCUGAUUAGCUAGUUGGUGGGGUAACGGCCUACCUAGGCGACGAUCAGUAGCGGGUCUGAGAGGAUGAUCCGCCACACUGUGACUGAGACACGGCCCAGACGCCUACGGGAGGCAGCAGUGGGGAAUUUUGGACAAUGGGCGCAAGGCUGAUCCAGCCAUGCCGCGUGUCUGAAGAAGGCCUUCGGGUUGUAAAGGACUUUUGUCAGGGAAGCGGUACCUGCAGAAUAAGCACCGGCUAACUACGUGCCAGCAGCCGCGGUAAUUC
rnacentral:rRNA from 1 species